rnacentral:rRNA from 1 species
CGGCUACGGGGUAGUAAGGCAUCGGAACGUACCUUUUCGUCUGGGAUAGCCAUGGGAAACUGUGAGUAAUACCGGACAAUAUCUUCGGAUCAAAGGUUUACUGCGAUUAGAGCGGCCGAUGUGAGACUAGGUAGUUGGUAGGGUAAUGGCCUACCAAGCCAGAGAUCUCUAGGGGGUGUGAGAGCAUGACCCCCACCACUGGAACUGAGACACUGUCCAGACACCUACGGGUGGCUGCAGUCGAGAAUCUUCGGCAAUGGGCGAAAGCCUGACCGAGCGACGCUGCGUGCGGGAUGAAGGCCCUUGGGUUGUAAACCGCUGUCAGAGGGGAUCAAAGGAAACUUGAGAGAGCCUCAGAGGAAGCGCGGGCUAAGUUCGUGCCAGCAGCCGCGGUAAUACGAACUGCGCAAACGUUAUUCGGAAUCACUGGGCUUACAGGGUGCGUAGGCGGUUCGCCAGGUCAGAUGUGAAAUCCCACAGCUCAACUGUGGAACUGCAUUUGAAACCUGCGAACUUGAGUAGACUAGAGGUACACGGAACUUCAGGUGGAGCGGUGAAAUGUGUUGAGAUCUGAAGGAACACCAGAGGCGAAAGCGGUGUACUGGAGUCUGUCUGACGCUGAGGCACGAAAGCUAGGGGAGCGAACGGGGUUAGAUACCCCGGUAGUCCUAGCCGUAAA